rnacentral:rRNA from 1 species
AUGGGCGGCGGCGAGGGCAAGUCGAGGAAGCGCCGCUCUUCCCCCUCCUCAGGGGAGGAAGAUGAGAGGGAGCGGAAGAAGAGGCGGGACAAGAAGGAGAGCAGGAGGAGCGGCCGCGACGGCAGGGGCAGCGACGAGGAGGAGGAGAGGCGGAGGAGGAAGAAGAAGCACGGCGACAGGGGCAAAGACAAAGAGAGGGAUUCGAAGGAGAGGCGUUCCAAGGAGAAGGAGAAGAGCAAGCGAAAAGACAAGGAUGCUCCAUCGCUAAAACAGGACAUCAAAGAAAUAUCCAAGGACGACUACUUUGCAAAGAACAAUGAGUUUGCAACCUGGUUGAAGGAAGAGAAGGGCAAAUAUUUCUCCGACCUUUCUUCAGAGUCUGCCCGUGAUAUCUUCCUCAAGUUCGUGAAACAAUGGAACAAGGGGAAGCUGCCAUCGCAAUACUACGUGGGCAUCACCACUGGGCCCCGAUCAGCACACAACUGGAACAUCAAGAAGGCAUGA